CAGAGCAUAGCUAAACUAGAAUAGCAUUUCCCUUACACCGAGAAGAUACCCGUGCAAUUCGGGUUGCACUGA
rnacentral:tRNA from 1 species